AUAAGAAAAGAAAAAAAAAUGAUUUUGGAUCAAGUCUUAAACUAUACUAAUUAAUUUUGUAUCGUGACCAAGUUAAACUCUAAUAUAUUAGAGCGUGGGCUUCCAACCUAAAACCAAUUGGCAAGAGGUGGAGAGGCCCAUAUCUUAUAUAUACCACUUAAGAUCCUACUCAACUUCCGAUGUGGGACAUUGUCCCUAAUACGCCCCCUCGAGAUGAUGGCUCUUCUAGCCAUUGAUCUCGAUAUGUUUGGGCAUGGAUCGGCGGGCCAAGUAUUGGGCCGGACCGAUGUGGAUCGGGUUGAGUAUGUGCGGACCGGGCUCUGAUACCAUAUUAGAGUGUGGGCUUCCAACCUAAAACCAAUUGGCAAUAGGUGGAGAGGCCCAUAUCUUAUAUAUACCACUUAAGAUCCUACUCAACUUCCGAUGUGGGACAUUGUCCCUAAUAUAAUAUCCGUUGAAGGAUUGAGAAUUUUUAUCUCAUGGUUCAAAGGUACUUUGGAAGGAAACUUCUUUAAUCUUACUCUGAUCACAAAGGUCUAUGAAG
rnacentral:sRNA from 1 species